rnacentral:rRNA from 1 species
UACAGAGGGUGCGAGCGUUGUUCGGAAUUACUGGGCGUAAAGCGCGCGCAGGCGGAUGAUGCAAGCCUGGAGUGAAAUCUCGCCGCUCAACGGCGAGGCUGCUUUGGAUACUGUACGUCUGGGGACUGGUAGAGGCUGGUAGAAUUCCCGGUGUAGCGGUGGAAUGCGUAGAUAUCGGAAAGAAUACCCGUGGCGAAGGCGGCCAGCUGGGCCAGAUCCGACGCUGAGGAGCGAAAGCGUGGGGAGCGAACAGG